rnacentral:rRNA from 1 species
UUCUUGGUUGAUCCUGCCGGAGGUCACUGCUAUUGGGAUUCGACUAAGCCAUGCGAGUCGAGAGGGUUCGGCCCUCGGCAGACGGCUCAGUAACACGUGGAUAAUCUGCCCUUAGGUGGAGGAUAACCUCGGGAAACUGAGAAUAAUACUCCAUAGACCUAGGAUGCUGGAAUGCACUUAGAUUAAAAGUUCCGACGCCUAAGGAUGAGUCUGCGGACUAUCAGGUUGUAGUCAGGGUAAAGACCUGACUAGCCUACAGCGGAUACGGGUUGUGAGAGCAAUAACCCGGAGACGAUAUCUGAGACACGAUAUCGGGCCCUACGGGGCGCAGCAGGUGCGAAACCUUCACAAUGUGCGAAAGUACGAUGAGGGAAUCCCAAGUGCUUGCUCGUAAGAGUAAGCUGUUUUUAUGUCUAAAAAGCAUAGAGAGUAAGGGCUGGGUAAGACGGGUGCCAGCCGCCGCGGUAA